UAUAACAACCUGGUGGCAAACCCACAAAAGUGUGGGGUUCCUACAAGACUGUAGCCCCCAAAGUUUCUUACAUAAUACUACACCCAGACUCCAGAAAUUUCUCAAGCUUGCCGUUUAAGUCAUCCAACCAGCUAAUGGCUCCACAGGCUUCCACUCCAGGGAACUCUGUGGUCUCGUAGGUAUGAAUGCUGUCCACUUUCCACUUGCAAGCCCAUUGAUGCCACAUCCCAGUUACUCAUUUCAAAGUGGAAGUGCGAGGAAACAAUUCAGACUUUGGAAUAAAGAAAUCAAAA